GCUCCAGCCCAGUUUGCAUCUUCCACUGCUCCAGCACUUCCGGGUUGAGUGGCUCCCCUCCUGCCAAGCAGUGCCGCAGCUUCUUGAAUUUGUAUCUGAAGAAAAAGAGUUGCAAGGGGUCUGUAUACUCAGAAAUGUUAAAUAUCGACACUGACCUGUUCGCAUACAAGCCACGUUUACGAGCCACCACUCCGGGAUUCGGGGCAGUAUCACGGCCACUCGGUCUCCUCUCUGCAGGCCACAGGGCUUGAAGAACACUGUAUUUGCCCCAAAACCAAAGAAAUAAA